rnacentral:rRNA from 1 species
GAAUUUUGGACAAUGGGGGCAACCCUGAUCCAGCCAUGCCGCGUGUGUGAAGAAGGCCUUUUGGUUGUAAAGCACUUUAUGCAGUGAAGAAGACUCCAUGUUUAAUACCCCUGGACGAUGACCUUACCUGCAGAACAAGCACCCGCUAACUCUGUGCCAGCAGCCGCGGUAAUACAGAGGGUGCAAGCGUUAAUAGGAAUUACUGGGCGUAAAGCGAGCGUAGGUGGCUUGAUAAGUCAGAUGUGAAAUCCCCGGGCCUAACCUGGGAACUGCAUCUGAUACUGUUAGGCUAGAAUAGGUGAGAGGAAGGUAGAAUUCCAGGUGUAGCGGUGAAAUGCGUAGAGAUCUGGAGGAAUACCGAUGGCGAAGGCAGCCUUCUGGCAUCAUAUUGACACUGAGGUUCGAAAGCGUGGGUAGCAAAC